rnacentral:lncRNA from 1 species
UAAGAUUGAUGCUUAUCCCUAGUUGGAGUUAUAUUAGUUACUCUAGAAGAGUUCUAAGCAAGAGAACUAAUUGUUCUAUGCUGGUAGUGGCUACACAAAGAUGAAGUGAAGUGCUGAAAUUUCAGCAUGAUGCAGAAUUUCAGCAUGAUGCUGAAAUUAAGAUUGAGCUGGAAUUAUUGCCUUGAUGGAGCUCUUGGGUGUGCCGAAUUGAAAAGGAACCUGGUAGAGUGGUAUUAGAUGGAUCUGAGAUGAAAGGGAUCUAAAGAUUAUGAUUAGAAAGAGAAUUCCUGCUGUAAAUAAGUAAUAAACAGGGAAGUAUAGAUGCCGAGACGUUUAAGUAUUAUGAAUUCUAUGAGAUUUGCUCUAAGUAUAUACUUAUGAUUAGUUGUUGGAAGGUAAAGCUGAGCUAAGAUCAUGAUAAAUUCAUCUUAAGGUUGAUGUUAUUGGUCCCUAAUUCUUGAUUAUUAAAGUCUAAAGUUGAUUAGAAAUUUACUAGUGAGACUAGGCAUAUGUAUAUGUGGAUCGUAUAUACAUAUAUACAAGUACCUUGGAGUAGAAAUGCAAACUUGUAAAAUAUGUGAAUGUGACCUUAGUUAAUCUCUUUUAUUCUCUUAUGAAUGAAAGUUAAACUUGUACAAAAGUCUAAAUUGACAUUCCGACAGGUCGGCGAAGCGUUAAUUGCAUUAGAAGCCAAUUCGGCUCUAGUUGCAUUGAGUCGCGUAAUACCUUUGCGGAUUCACUUCGAGACGUGGAUUCUAGUUGUUGACACCACUACAGGUGGGUGGUGCUAUCCGAAGUCUUUGAAUCACCUUUUAUGUCUAUGUUAUUCAUUGAGCAUAUUUACUUCUGUUUUUCAUGCAUUAUAGGGUAUGGGCAUUGGUAUUAUGCAAGUGAUAGUGAAUGUGUGAAUUCUUAUUGAUAGUGAGAACAUAUGAACAUAGAAUGUGGACAUAGAAACCUAUGAAUGCAUGGACUAUAACAAUAGUGAACUUGGUGACAUAUGACUAGAGAUUUGGUUAGCAUCGACAUUGGAAUUAUAAAACUAGCAUAAAGAGCUAGUUAGAGUAAAGUGUGACAGUGUUUGUCAGUUAAAUCCUCUAAAGGGGGAUCAGAUCAUACUCACAUUUGUUUGGUUCAAGUGAGGUCGCUCCUCCUUGAACGAUGAGCUCCGGAGUAGUCAUCUUUACUGGACCAGGAGGUUGCGUCUCCCCCAGUUGACAGUCCCGUCGGGUGCAGGUUGCGUCUCCCCGAUAUUUGGGAUAGUGUCAGUGAGUUAAUGUUAACCAGAGGGUUAACCAAAAGAUUGGAUAAAGAUAAUGAAAAGCAUGCAUGCAUAUUUACAGUUUUCAUAUACAUCGUUUCUUUCAGCUUGUACAGGCAUUGUAGUAGUUACAUAUUAUAGUCGGUUACUAUCUCAGUUUACUUUUCUUGCCUACAUAUGCCUGAGUAGACCUAGUGGGUGAGUCGGCGAGGUCGGCGGCCGAACCCACUGGGAACUUUCUUGUAGUUCUCACACCACUAACCAUAUAGGUUCCAGUGCGAGUAUUGUGGCCGAGGAUCGAGGCAAGAGCCAGCAGCCUAGCUAGUGGACACCCGAGUACUAGUGGUAUACCAUUUUGGGUUCAUGUAUCAUCUAUUUCGAUGUACAGAGACAUGUAAAUGAAUGUAUAUAAAGUAUGUAAUAACUAAAUGUUUCAGUUAUGUAAAGUUUUAAAUUACAGUGAAUUUCAUUGUACAGUUAGUUUACUAUCACUUGUGUUGUUGCUUGCCAUCGUGCAAGCCAUGUAUAUUGAAAUGUGAUCCUGGGAAUUGUUUAUUUCUUUAUACAUGUAUUCGUUGUUGUUGAGCCUUGGGCGAACAGAGGAGGUGCUGUUCGUUCGGCGUCUGUGUACGGGCCCGGAUCGACCAAAUUGGCGAUAGCGGGACGUGACAGAUAGAGUGGUAUCAGAGCAAGUGAUAGUGAAAGUCUAGGAUGACCUAGGGGACUUAGGAAUGGAAACCUAGGAACCAGGAACGCGAGUGGCGUGAAUCUAAUGAUAGCGAAGGCUAAAUUAAUUUGGUUAGUUGUUAGUAAGUCUCUAAUGUUAAUUAGGGGCUGAUCCAAGUGUUAUUUAUACGCAACGAACGGAGUUAUGUUGGGGGCCCACAACAUAAAGCUAAGGGUUGAGUAUAAAUACACUUAUUGCUUUCGCCUGAUUGGUAUUGUUCUACUAGUGUAAACGGUUCAUUUCAAGAGAAAUGUCGCGACGUGCGACGAGAUCCACUCCGGCAUCACCUCCUGGGAUGCCAGAGCAGACUGGAUCUAGCGAAGUUCAGGAGCUACGUGCUCCGAUGAGCGCGUUAGUUGGAAUUGUACAGAGGCAGGAGGAGAAUAUGAAGAAGUUACAGGAUCUAGUGUCGCAACAGGCGACAACAGCAGCAUCUGAGGAUCAGGCUGUAUAUAUACCUAAUCCGACAGUGAGAGUGCCCCUCCUCCAGUGAUGAUUCCUCCAGUGAUUUCUGGGCCGUCUGAUUUUGAUUUGACUGCAACAAGGACUGAGCACGAGCAAUCAUUGGCUGUAUUGAUGGCGUUUCUGCGGUUCAAUCCGCCUAUGUUGAUGGAAAGAAGGCAGAUCCUUGGGUAUUGGAGACAUGGCUCGCCUCGAUGGAAGCCUUAUUUGAGGAUAUCGAUACCCUGGAAAAGGAUAAGAUUCAUUUGGCAGCACUAUUUCGAAAAGGACACACAAAAUUGGUAGAUUGAGUCAAUGGACUCUAGAAGACUGUGAAGUAGUUGGAUAAAGAAAUACUUGCAGGUCGAGAAUCUAUGGAGUGGCUUCGGGGAGAUUCUCCCAGAAAGGAUUUGCUUAUCGAGGACAGGAUAUAGAGUUGUUGUUGGAAUUAACGACAAGUGGACUUCAAGAUAAAUCAUGGGGGCUACAGCAGGAUGCCUGUUCAGAGAAAAGUAGGUAGAAAGAUUUUCUAUAUGCUAAGUUAUGAUUAGUACACAGUGUGAGAUAUUGGAAACAAGGCCGGUUAGGAAAUAUGGAAACUUUGACAGGAAAUUUGUCAAAGCUAUGCGCUUUCCUGAUCUAUGAACUUCUGAUGAAGUAAUGGACCGAACCUUGUGGUUGAAGUUAAGUGAUAUUUCGCACGGAAGGGGUGCGAAUUGAUUAGUGAGAAUGAAGGAUAAGCGACUGAUAUUGAGCUCGAGUGAUUAAUCGAGUGCCAAGUGACAGCCGGAAGAGAGUUGUAGUCGUUAACCUAGAAUUCGGAAAGGUCUGUUGGUUGACCUUUUACUUUGAGAGGAAUGAUUGUGAUAAUUUUCACCUGGCCAGGCCACGUGUAUUAUUGGAUAAGUGAAGUGGUAAAAAAACUGCCUUCAGUAAGAAGAUUGUAUAUUUGGAAAUGAUACAAACUCCGAGCGGUACAUGCAAGAAUGUGAUAGAGCCUUGGAUUUGACACUAGCGUGCAAGGAUGAAGAGAAUAUAUUGUCUAUUGAGGGAUAGAUAGUUGGAUCGUGCUAGUGAGCAGUCACAGUGAGCCAAUGUUGGGGCUCGAGAUGAAGAUGGACAUAGUGGACCUAUUCUCUAAACCAUUCGGGUGGUAAUGAGAAUUAAAUUAGAAACGUUAGAAGACGUUUCUAGAAUUCGAAAAUCUAGAUAGUAUUUCCGAUGGAUUGUGUAGUGGUAAGGGCGUCACUAUUGUGGCAUGGUUAGAUGAUCGCCUGGUUUUGGCAAGUUAGUUGAGUUGUACCUCAAAUAAGUUGAGGAAUUGUGUUUGCGUAUUCGAGGCAUAGGCUGAAUUACCUAGCGUGAGAUGUCUAGCGAGAGAUACGAUAGUGUAAGACGCUUGAGUAUAGCUGUCGGUAGAAUGUGGAUUAUGGUUCAGCUAGGAGAGUGUGUUGGCAGUAGCACUGGAGCGUUGCUAAGUGUGAAGCGUGCCAAGGAUCACUCGCGGGGCUGGUGGCUCGCAGGUGCUUAGGAGCCGAUAGUGGUACUUGUAGCUCUGUAGAGCAUGUCGUGUAGGACGACGGCGGGUAGUGCUUGGUGACGACCCGUGCCUGGACCCUUUGUGGACUGUGGAGCCUGGGCCCAUUGGGCAGGCGCAGUCAGCUGCGAGAGGCAGCGGCCUGGUACCUACGGGUAGGGCAGAGAUUUGGUCCGGACGGUAGUCCGAGCUUGGACCCGAGUACGUGGAAUGCCACGUGUUAGAUCGUGAGAUCGAGGAUACAGAGUGUAGCGACCCAACCCGAGGACUUGACAUGGUUUGGAGUUGCGGUUGCUCCGGUUAGAGUGAGUGUGAAUUCUUCAAUAAGAAUGUCGCCCGAUGAUGAUUGGGUCUACGCUUGCGAGCGAGAAACCUUAUGUAAGGUGGAAUUGAGAUAAGUAAUUUAGCUGAUUGCUCUCGAAGUGCGAGAGUUGGUGAAUUGAGGAUAGUGACCUCAGGAGCGGAGGCUCGGUCCUAUUAGUUGCCUAUUUUGAACCGCCGAGUUAGGCGUCGAUGAGAAAUUGAGAUUAGAAGCACGAACGAGGUGUUCGUGGAAACUCGUGGCAAGAGAUUGAUAUAUUGUGAACGUGGCUGGAAAAGUCAAAGGUUUCCUUUGAGAUUAGUGUGUAGUGGAAGCCACGUGAAAUGUUGGAGGAUUAUGUCUUCAAAUCAUUAGAGUGUGGAGAUGUUAGAAUGAACCCUUCGUUGAGAAGUGGAAAUUUGUGGGUGAUGGAACACUCACAAUUGAGUGGUGUAUUGUGAUAUCGCAGAUGACGAUGCCAGUUGAGGAAUCAAAGUAGACUCCACCGAAGAAUGAUGAGAAUAGCGAAUGUUAUCUAACAAGUUUAUAUAUGAACCAAGGUGGUUUAUGUAUUUUGAGUACGAAUCAUACAGGAAUGAUUCCCAUCGUGAGUAAAACAGAUAGCAAUAUUCUUUGGAAUAAGAGGAUGUUAUUGUUGUGAAUUGGUUAUCAUCUAUUGAUGAUAAGAAUGAUGACAGGGACAUGUUAAGAUGAUGAUGCGGGUAAUCAUUGAUUUAUGAGGAAAAAUCAUACUUAGUGGUAUUAAAUGGUGGUCAACUAUUGAUGAUAGUUGAUUACGACACGGGCUUGAUAAGCAGUUUGUGUGAGUAGCUGUUGAUUACAUGAAAAGAGUGCCGAUUUCUGGAUAUAUCACUUCAGUGAGAAAGUAAUCAAAACAAAGAAGUUUUGAUGAUGAAUGACCUCGGAGAAGAGUAAGUCAUUGAAUGUUGACUUCCAUUGCCAUUGAGACUGGAAGAACUUGUAGCAAUCCGUUGGAAAGAACACAGAAUGGUGUAAUUCUGUAUAUUAGUAAGUAUUGAAAAUAAAGGAUUGGAAAUAUGUAUGAAUUGUGGAUUAAGUUAAAGUGGAAGUGGAACCUAUGGCAGAGUUGCAAUGUUAAGUAUUGAGAAAGGAUUGUAUUUAAUCCUAAUGUACUCCAAGAGGCGGAGAAAAAGGUACGCCUAGUCCGCCAGACAUUGUUAACGGCUCGGUUAAGGCAGCAGAGUUAUGCAACUAAGUGUCGAAGGAGCUUGGAAUUUGCGGUUGGCGAUCGAGUAUUAUAGAAAGUGUCGCCAAUGCAAGGGACAAAAGAGAUUUGGUGUUCGAGGAAAGCUUAGUCCUCGAUGUAUUGGAUCCUAUGAGAUCCUAGCACGAGUUGGAGCAGUAGCCUAUCGUUUGGCUCUACCGCCAAAAUUUGAAGGAAUUCACAAUGUAUUUUAUGUCUCCAAUCUUCGCAAGGAUGUGUAUCACCUUGGACACAUUCUGGAACUCGAAUCAGUGGAUCCGCAAGAGAACAUGAUCUAUGAAGUUUAUCCAGUGUGCAUCUUGGAUUGCGAGGUAAAAGAAUUGCGAAGUCGCAAUAUCCCCGAGGCGAAAGUACAAUGGAGUAAUUACUCAGGACGAGAGGCUACAUGGGGAUUGGAAGAAGCUAUGCGCAAAUCCUACCCUCAUCUAUUUGACCAGGAGAAUUGAAGUAUGAAAUCGAGUUUCGAGGACGAAACUAUUUUAAGGAGGGGAGAUUGUAAUAGGCUGAAACUUGAUUAGAAGCUAAUUGUGAUCAAAGUGGUCACAAUAACGCUAAAAUGGAAAUUAAGUGUUUCCAAACUUAACUAGAGGCUUGAGAACACCAAGUGACAGGUUUUGGAAAUGUGGGAAUAGAUAAGAAUGGAAUUGGAGUGGCUAAAUACAUUCAAUUGCCAUUUUGACUCGAAAGCUGAAAUUCUAGUCACUUUGGUCAAAAAUGGCCAAAUUGAUACCAAAUUGGAAAUUAAUUGCUUCCAAAUUAAUUUGACAACUUGUAGAGGUAUAUUAGUGUAAUUUGGAAGUGCUUGAGUGGACUUGAAGUGAGUUGGAUGGGCAAAAUAAGCUUCAAAGUGCUGCUACAGCUAGUUGUUUAGUGCAGGGACUGAAUUGUAAGCUCCAGGGACUAAACUGUGAACCUGCAGGGACUGAAUCGCGAACUACUGGACUGCAAUGCAGUUUUAGCAUUUUGAGGGAUUAAACAGCAAUUUGCUGAGCUUAUCACCUUAACCCAGUCCAGCUAAAUAUGUCUACGUGUAAGAACCUCCUUCCACAGCUCUUUUCUCAUCUCUUUUCUUCUUCUCUUUCUCUCUCUAGCCGAUUGAUGCAGGGAGAGGGUGGUGUGGCAAAUUGAAGCUUUGGAGGUUGAUAGGAGCUGUCGAACAGCAGGAAACCAGCUAAGAAGGUUUAUAACUUCAGGUAAUUAAAUUAUUCUCAGCUGAAAUCAAAGUAAAAGAGAGGUCUAAAGGAGUAAAACUUGUGUUGGUAGAGUUAGUGGCUGUGAAAGAAGGCUUGGUGGUGAGCAGAUUUGAGGUUUGUGGCCUGAUUGGAGCUACCAAAUUAGAGUUCCAGCUGAGGAAACUUGAAAAUUAAAGUGAGUAUCUUGCUUCUCUGCUAGGCUUAAAGUAUUGCCUAAGAGAAAGGUUUCUAACUGAUUUAAAUGGACAUAGGAAUGCAAGGAAUUAAAGAGGAAUCGUGAAGAUCUCGGCGCCCAAAUUGAAAGAGGCUGAUGGAUCCUCUUAGAUAAUUCGAAUUAAAAAAAGAACUUGAUAAAACCUUGAAUCAAGGUAAGGCUAAUGCUUAUCCCUGGUUAAGUGAUAGAGAUUACUCUAAAAGGGAAUUGCAAACAUUAGAAUAACUUAAUUUGAAUUGGCACAGGGGGCUGCGAAGGAGAAGCCGAAGUGCUGAAAUUUCUGCAUUGCGCAGAAUUUCAGCAUAGACUACUUGCUAUUGGAAUUGGAAAAGAGAACUUGGUGAAGCUUCGAAUUGGGUAAGUGAAUAGUUCUUUCCCGAGUUGAGUGAUAGGAGUUACUCUAAAGAGGUUAUAAGUACUUGAAUUAGUUAAUUGGAAUUGGUAUAGGGGCUGCAAAGGGGAAGUAGGUGUGCAGAAUUUCAGCAUAAGUACCCUGCUGUUGGAGCUGAAAGAAAGCGUGUUGGAGCUGCGAAUUGAGGUAAGAUUGAUGCUUAUCCCUAGUUGGAGUUAUAUUAGUUACUCUAGAAGAGUUCUAAGCAAGAGAACUAAUUGUUCUAUGCUGGUAGUGGCUACACAAAGAUGAAGUGAAGUGCUGAAAUUUCAGCAUGAUGCAGAAUUUCAGCAUGAUGCUGAAAUUAAGAUUGAGCUGGAAUUAUUGCCUUGAUGGAGCUCUUGGGUGUGCCGAAUUGAAAAGGAACCUGGUAGAGUGGUAUUAGAUGGAUCUGAGAUGAAAGGGAUCUAAAGAUUAUGAUUAGAAAGAGAAUUCCUGCUGUAAAUAAGUAAUAAACAGGGAAGUAUAGAUGCCGAGACGUUUAAGUAUUAUGAAUUCUAUGAGAUUUGCUCUAAGUAUAUACUUAUGAUUAGUUGUUGGAAGGUAAAGCUGAGCUAAGAUCAUGAUAAAUUCAUCUUAAGGUUGAUGUUAUUGGUCCCUAAUUCUUGAUUAUUAAAGUCUAAAGUUGAUUAGAAAUUUACUAGUGAGACUAGGCAUAUGUAUAUGUGGAUCGUAUAUACAUAUAUACAAGUACCUUGGAGUAGAAAUGCAAACUUGUAAAAUAUGUGAAUGUGACCUUAGUUAAUCUCUUUUAUUCUCUUAUGAAUGAAAGUU